rnacentral:rRNA from 1 species
CCCUUAGAUGUUCUGGGCCGCACGCGCGCUACACUGACGAAUGCAACGAGCUUAUAACCUUGGCCGAAAGGUCUGGGUAAUCUCCAAAUUUCGUCGUGAUGGGGAUAGAUUAUUGCAAUUAUUAAUCUUCAACGAGGAAUGCCUAGUAAGCGCAAGUCAUCAGCUUGCGUUGAUUACGUCCCUGCCCUUUGUACACACCGCCCGUCGCUCCUACCGAUUGAAUGGUCCGGUGAAGCGUUCGGACCGUGGCCUUUGGAUGGUUCGCCGUCUGUUGGCUGCGGGAAGUUCGUUAAACCUUAUCAUUUAGAGGAAGGAGAANUCGUAACA